GAAAGGUCGUGCGAACACGGCUGGAUACACGCAUACCUGUAUCCCAAUUAGG
rfam:Blautia sp. CAG:37, WGS project CBJJ01000000 data, contig: 87